rnacentral:rRNA from 1 species
AAGUCUGGGAGAAUAAGGUAGCAAUAUCUUUAGUAAACCGGCGCACGGGUGAGUAAUAUAUAGGUAAUAUGCCUUUUGGUUUGGAAUAACCCCGCGAAAGCGGGGCUAAUACCGAAUGAUGCAGCGGCUCCGCAUGGAGAUGUUGUUAAAGCUUCGGCGCCAAAAGAUUAACCUGUAUCCCAUGAGAUAGUUGGCGAGGUAACGGCUCACCAAGUCUGCGAUGGGUAGCUGAUCUGAGAGGAUGAUCAGCCACACUGGAACUGAGACACGGUCCAGACUCCUACGGGAGGCAGCAGUGAGGAAUAUUGCGCAAUGGAGGAAACUCUGACGCAGCGACGCCGCGUGAAGGAUGAAGGCCCUCUGGGUCGUAAACUUCUGUAGAGAGGGAAGAAUUUUUCGUUUCGCGAAAUUGACGGUACCUCUAAAGUAAGGGUCGGCUAACUACGUGCCAGCAGCCGCGGUAAUACGUAGGACCCGAGCGUUGUCCGGAUUUACUGGGUGUAAAGGGAGCGCAGGCGGAUUUUCAAGUCGAUGGUGAAAUCUUGCGGCUCAACCGCAAAACAGCCGUUGAUACUGUUAAUCUUGAGUGUGGAAGAGAGUGGCGGAAUUCAUGGUGUAGCAGUGAAAUGCGUAGAUAUCAUGAAGAACACCGGUUGCGAAGGCGGCCACUUAGUCCAUUACUGACGCUCAUGCUCGAAAGCGUGGGGAUCAAACAGGAUUAGAUACCCUGGUAGUC